UUAGGAAAAUUUUGCAAUGCGCGUAAGCGUGACAAAGCAAGCCAGAGUGUUUCUCUAUAAUUGAGCAACUUUUGCGGGAUGCAAAAAGUCCCGUGAAUAAGGACUGGGCAAGACUGGUGCCAGCCGCCGCGGUAAUCCCAGCAGUCCGAGUCGCAGCCACAUUUGUUGGGUCUAAAACAUCCGUAGCUUGCUAUGUAAGUCUCUUGUCAAAUCGGGCCUCUCAAGGGUCCGGCGAGCAAGAGAUACUGUGUAGCUAGAAACCGGGAGACGUAAAGAGUACUAUGGGAGUAGCGGUUAAAUGCGUUGAUCCUCAUGGGACUAACAACAGCGAAGGCACUUUACGAUAACGGAUUUGACAGUGAGGGAUGAAGGCUAGGGGCGCAAAGUGG
rnacentral:rRNA from 1 species